GGUGAACGCUGGCGGUAGGCCUAACACAUGCAAGUCGGACGGCAGCACAGGAGAGCUUGCUCUCUAGGUGGCGAGUGGCGGACGGGUGAGGAAUACAUCGGAAUCUGCCCAGUCGUGGGGGAUAACGUAGGGAAACUUACGCUAAUACCGCAUACGACCUUCGGGUGAAAGAGGGGGAUCGCAAGACCUCUCGCGAUUGGAUGAGCCGAUGUCGGAUUAGCUAGUUAGCGGGGUAAUGGCCCACCAAGGCGACGAUCCGUAGCUGGUCUGAGAGGAUGAUCAGCCACACUGGAACUGAGACACGGUCCAGACUCCUACGGGAGGCAGCAGUGGGGAAUAUUGGACAAUGGGCGCAAGCCUGAUCCAGCCAUACCGCGUGGGUGAAGAAGGCCUUCGGGUUGUAAAGCCCUUUUGUUGGGAAAGAAAUCUUUCAGGCUAAUACCCUGGGAGGAUGACGGUACCCAAAGAAUAAGCACCGGCUAACUUCGUG
rnacentral:rRNA from 1 species